rnacentral:rRNA from 1 species
AUUGAACGCUGGCGGCAGGCCUAACACAUGCAAGUCGAACGGUAACAGGAAGCAGCUUGCUGCUUCGCUGACGAGUGGCGGACGGGUGAGUAAUGUCUGGGAAACUGCCCGAUGGAGGGGGAUAACUACUGGAAACGGUAGCUAAUACCGCAUAACGUCGCAAGACCAAAGAGGGGGACCUUCGGGCCUCUUGCCAUCGGAUGUGCCCAGAUGGGAUUAGCUUGUUGGUGAGGUAACGGCUCACCAAGGCGACGAUCCCUAGCUGGUCUGAGAGGAUGACCAGCCACACUGGAACUGAGACACGGUCCAGACUCCUACGGGAGGCAGCAGUGGGGAAUAUUGCACAAUGGGCGCAAGCCUGACGCAGCCAUGCCGCGUAUAUGAAGAAGGCCUUCGGGUUGUAAAGUACUUUCAGCGGGGAGGAAGGUGUUGUGGUUAAUAACCGCAGCAAUUGACGUUACCCGCAGAAGAAGCACCGGCUAACUCCGUGCCAGCCGCCGCCGUAA